GAAAAACUGGCUCUUGUUUCUAUAAGGCAGUGAGAUCACUUCCUGUUGGGUUCCCGUGUUGGCGAGAACAGACAAAGACACCAGAACACCUAGUACUCCCAGAACCAUGAUGCUGGGUGGAGCCGCGGCGGGCAGCUGAAGUACCUGCUCUCUAAAAUCAACCCGGACGACUUCACCUUCCUUCAUCUUUUCCCGUGAGGAGCUUUCAAACCUCUGAGGAGCUGAGCUGAAAUUCCACAGGCAUGGACCGACUCCGACCCUCUACUGACCUCAGAGUCUCCAGUCUACAGUGUGGACUCU